GGCAGCCUGAAUCUGCUGAGAGUGAAGCUGGUUUUUGUUUUCAACAGAUUUGGGUUUCUUAUUAUCGCUCAAGUUAAAACAACAAGAAUCCGUGAGCAGAAUUAGACUCAGUACAUUUUAACUAUCCCAACUAGUCCACAUUUAAAAGAGCAAUUAAUCAAACUUUAGUGGAUUUCUUGUUUAUAAAUGGUGAAGCAUUUCUAAACAUCAGAGCUGCUGCAUCAAGUCUUUUCUCUUUAAAUCUCAGGAGCCGCUAGUGCCUCUUAAAUCUGUAUAUAUGUUUGAUAGAUUGUUUUUAUUUUAUCACUGCAAAGAUGUGGUUCUGAGAAGGUAAA